AGCACCGGCUAACUACGUGCCAGCAGCCGCGGUAAUACGUAGGGUGCAAGCGUUAUCCGGAAUUAUUGGGCGUAAAGGGCUCGUAGGCGGUUCGUCGCGUCCGGUGUGAAAGUCCAUCGCUUAACGGUGGAUCCGCGCCGGGUACGGGCGGGCUUGAGUGCGGUAGGGGAGACUGGAAUUCCCGGUGUAACGGUGGAAUGUGUAGAUAUCGGGAAGAACACCAAUGGCGAAGGCAGGUCUCUGGGCCGUUACUGACGCUGAGGAGCGAAAGCGUGGGGAGCGAACAGGAUUAGAUACCCUGGUAGUCCACGCCGUAAACGGUGGAUGCUGGAUGUGGGGCCCGUUCCACGGGUUCCGUGUCGGAGCUAACGCGUUAAGCAUCCCGCCUGGGGAGUACGGCCGCAAGGCUAAAACUCAAAGAAAUUGACGGGGGCCCGCACAAGCGGCGGAGCAUGCGGAUUAAUUCGAUGCAACGCGAAGAACCUUACCUGGGCUUGACAUGUUCCCGACAGCCGUAGAGAUGCGGCCUCCCUUCGGGGCGGGUUCACAGGUGGUGCAUGGUCGUCGUCAGCUCGUGUCGUGAGAUGUUGGGUUAAGUCCCGCAACGAGCGCAACCCUCGCCCUGUGUUGCCAGCACGUCGUGGUGGGAACUCACGGGGGACCGCCGGGGUCAACUCGGAGGAAGGUGGGGAUGACGUCAGAUCAUCAUGCCCCUUACGUCCAGGGCUUCACGCAUGCUACAAUGGCCGGUACAACGGGAUGCGACAUGGCGACAUGGAGCGGAUCCCUGAAAACCGGUCUCAGUUCGGAUUGGAGUCUGCAACCCGACUCCAUGAAGGCGGAGUCGCUAGUAAUCGCGGAUCAGCAACGCCGCGGUGAAUGCGUUCCCGGGCCUUGUACACACCGCCCGUCAAGUCAUGAAAGUGGGUAGCACCCGAAGCCGGUGGCCUAACCCCUUGUGGGAUGGAGCCGUCUAAGGUGAGGCUCGUGAUUGGGACUAAGUCGUAACAAGGUAGCCGUACCGGAAGGUGCGGCUG
rnacentral:rRNA from 1 species